UUCAUAUAUCAUCACUAAAAAUUGAGGUUUUGUCCCAACAUAACAUAACAUUGUACCUUUAUUUCAUGUCAGGACAGCAGGUAUGCAUGGUGAUGCGGGUUAAUCUAGAUUGCCCUUGUUGUUGCAAGAAAAUGAGAAGAAUCAUUCUGCGAAUGAAAGAAAUAGAGAUGCAUCUGAUUGAGAAGCAAGAGAAGAGAAUAAGCAUAAUGGGGCGGUUUGAUCCGGCAGAUAUAGCCAUAAGAAUCAGGAAAAAAAUGAACCGGAGAGUAGAGAUUUUGGACAUUCAAUUACCCCAACAGCCUGACGAGAUGCAUCAUGCCCCCAUUAUGCAACACACAUAAACUACCUUAGCUUCUUUUCCCCUAAUAUUGGGAUGCAUGCUCUCAUAUUCAAAACAAACUCGUGCAAGAUUAAUAAAAAAGUCUAAUACUCGAUCAACAAUGGAGUUUAGAUUGUGCGAAGAACUUCUUGAGUUUACAUUUGAAUGAAGAAAAUAAUCUAAUUUGCAGUUACAUUUCAAAUAGUGAUAUCAUUAACAAGACAGCACAAAGUGGCCGUUAGUUGUUGCA